UAAUUUUUCGUCCCGUAGCUCCUAGGGAGAAGAGCUUAUUUAGGGUUUUAUAAACACUGAUCGAACUUCAAAGUCGCCGGAGUUGGUUACGCGAGUCGAAGGGAUGUUGAAAGGGGGACACAGGCUAUAUGGAGGUUCUUCAAGAACAAUCUAUCUUGAAAGAAGGUCAAGUCGGGGCUCUAAAGUUUCGCGUCGGUGCAUUUAUUUGCACGACGGUUUUCAGCCUUUGAACGGUGUCGGUUAGGAUCCACGGGAUAAAUAACUGAGAGUUUGGGGGACCGAGUUAUAGCCACCGUGCGUUGGUGGCAGCGACCUCUUGAAGAGCGAGCCACUAGAAUAUCUGUUUCCAUCCAGACCUGUAAACUAACAGCGGGAAACGGUGGCUUAUGAAUUGACUUAUCAGAGCACAACAACAACCGGCACACUAUUGAUUGUCUAAGAAAUCAGGUCGCAAUAUGGACGAUACAUUUGGAGGGAAUAAGUAAUUGCUUUGUGAGGAAACCUUGUUGCUGUAUGUUGCUUUUUUUGCUGCUUGUUGGUGUUUUUACUGCUUGGUGCUGUAGUUGCUUGUGUUUGCUAUUGCUUUUUUUUUUUGGCAAUAGCGGGGAUGAUAUUUGAAGUUUGUAAUUUGUCGAUUUGUACCUGCACUUGUUAAAUUCUAUUUGAUGGGAGAUGUUUUUAAUAGUUGAUUAUUUAAAAGAUAUAAGUUUUUAUAAUUGUUUUGGUUUUAUAUCUAAUAUCUAUAGAAUAUACUCUAUAAUUCAUAUUUAUACCGUUUUGAUUUUUUACUUAUGAUAGUUAAUUUAUCUAACUUAUAAAGUAAGAAGUUUUAAAGAUAAAAUUCAAGAAAUUGGGUACCCGGAACCGGUCUUGGGGUUCCAGGAGCAGUUCCAGAUUUCUAGAAACCGGUGUAAGUUGUUCCUGGAAUCCAGGACCAAUAAUAGGCGGGUAUCCGCUAUGCUCGCCCCUAGUUGCAAUAGCAAGGAGUUCUUUAUCUAGUUUUGCAUAUUUAGCCUUUAAUUUAACAAAGUUUUAAAUGAUCAAUUUGUAAAUUAACACAUAUGCAAAUAGUCAAACAUUGUAGAUUUUUCAUUUUCAAAGUAAUUAACAAAGUUUUAGAUUUGACAUGAUACAUGGUGAAUAGAUCUCAAUCAAUUGCAAUACUAUUACCGAGAUUUUUCAUGUAUGGCUGCUCGAAACUCCUGUCCUCUUCAAAAGCCAUUAAAUCAUCUGUCUUUCUUUUCUCCAUCAGAUAUGCAUGCUCCUUUUGUCACAUGAUGUUCCCUUGCAUUGUUCCCGUAUCUCUUGAAUCUUUGUGCGUCCUUUAAAACAUUGUUGUCUAAGC